GAUGUACUCCCUCCGUCCGGAAAUAUUUGUCAGAAGAAUUGAUGUAUCUAGAUGUAUUUUAGUUUUAGAUGCAUCCAUUUAUAUCCAUUUCCACGACAAGUAUUUCUGGAUGGAGGGAGUACAUU
rnacentral:pre_miRNA from 1 species